CCAGGUAAUAAGAGCAGCAGAAGCAGACUCUCUGCGGACGUGCUACUUCACAGAGAGAUUUACUGACAGCCCUCAACGCGGCCGGCGCAUAUAAAAACACCUCUUUAUUAUCCCAUAAAAGAGAAACAGCAUUGGACCAACAUUGUUCAGCACGACGCUCUGACUUUCUUCCUGCACAAUCAAAUUACACAACAAGAGACAAACUUUGGACACAAUGGGUUUUAGAAAUGAGACAUUACGAAGGAGCGAAUUUUCAGGGAAUCCCUACAGCCAUCCACAGUACACAACCUAUAAUGAAGCCUGGAGAUUUAGCAACCCAGCAAUACUGAGUUCCCCCUAUUAUUAUAGUGCAUCCCGAGGCUCCGCCACUGCCUAUGACCGCCACUAGUUACCACAGAAACCAAAUCAGGCGGCACGCCCAUGGACUCAGACUUCAUAUUCUGCCAGUGUGAGCAGUGCAGCUGAUUGAACAGAGUGGUUUCAUGCAGUCACAUGAUGAAGAAUAGACCAAUCAGGAACAAAAACAUCUCGACGACAAUUCAGCCAGUCGCACGAGCCUCAAACCGACAAACGAACAAUAAAUGUAUAACUCAAAGACUGAGGGUAAAUAUGAUUUUUAAAACAAAAUUAACAUCUGCUUUUUUAAUACUUUUAUAUUUUGUCCGUUCAUUAAUAUUAUUCAUAGGUAUUCAUACUUAAAGAGGUUCUAGCAUAUAUAUGUAUUUGUUUGUUUGGAUAGACACUGAAAUGAAUGAUAUCAACGGUUGGACAUUUUCUAAAAUGAAAAUUGCUAAUACAGUGGGUACGGAAAGUAUUCAGAC